GCGUGCUUUACUAUGGCCCUUAAAUCUAUUAUAUGCUUAUUUUCUAGUGACAUAACAAACUGGGUUUUAUUUUAUUUCUUUAUUUCUCGAAACCAGCGCUCAUGUGUCGCCGGUGACGUCAUCAGCAUGACUUGGCUGCGUCGCUGGAAAAAAAACCCGCCUAAAGAAUGAAUUUCAAACCGUAGGUGGAUUUGGCCAGCCACGUGGCGCAUGGUGGCCCACGCGUGUGAAGGCCUGCCAGCAUUAAAGUGUACCGGAAUGAACGUCAAACUAGAUUGGUCAUAAGUCGUGGACUAUUAUUGUGAAGGCUUCCUUAUUUGAAUGAGUGUCAAACUAGAUUGGUCAGCCACUGUCAUAAAUCGUGGACUAUUAUUGUGAAGGCCUGCCAGAACGAGGCUUCAUUAAGUGAAUGAACAUCAAACUCGAUUGGUCAUAAGUCGUGGACUAUUAUUGUGAAGGUCUCCCGGCAUAAGGCUUCCUUAUUUGAAUGAACAUCAAACUAGGUUGGUCAGCCACGGUCAUAAGUCGUGGACUAUUAUUGUGAAGGCCUGCCAGCAUGAGGCCUCAUUAAGUAU